rnacentral:rRNA from 1 species
UAGUGGCGAACGGGUGAGUAACACGUGAGUAACCUGCCCUUGACUCUGGGAUAACCUCCGGAAACGGAAGCUAAUACCGGAUACGACGUACGGAGGCAUCUCCUGUACGUGGAAAGAACUUCGGUCAAGGAUGGACUCGCGGCCUAUCAGGUAGUUGGUGAGGUAACGGCUCACCAAGCCUACGACGGGUAGCCGGCCUGAGAGGGUGACCGGCCACACUGGGACUGAGACACGGCCCAGACUCCUACGGGAGGCAGCAGUGGGGAAUAUUGCACAAUGGGCGCAAGCCUGAUGCAGCAACGCCGCGUGAGGGACGACGGCCUUCGGGUUGUAAACCUCUUUUAGUAGGGAAGAAGCGAAAGUGACGGUACCUGCAGAAAAAGCACCGGCUAACUACGUGCCAGCAGCCGCGGUAAUACGUAGGGUGCGAGCGUUGUCCGGAAUUAUUGGGCGUAAAGAGCUCGUAGGCGGUCUGUCGCGUCUGCUGUGAAAACCCGAGGCUCAACCUCGGGCCUGCAGUGGGUACGGGCAGACUAGAGUGCGGUAGGGGAGAAUGGAAUUCCUGGUGUAGCGGUGGAAUGCGCAGAUAUCAGGAGGAACACCGAUGGCGAAGGCAGUUCUCUGGGCCGUAACUGACGCUGAGGAGCGAAAGCGUGGGGAGCGAACAGGAUUAGAUACCCUGGUAGUCCACGCCGUAAACGUUGGGCGCUAGAUGUGGGGACCAUUCCACGGUUUCCGUGUCGCAGCUAACGCAUUAAGCGCCCCGCCUGGGGAGUACGGCCGCAAGGCUAAAACUCAAAGGAAUUGACGGGGGCCCGCACAAGCGGCGGAGCAUGCGGAUUAAUUCGAUGCAACGCGAAGAACCUUACCAAGGCUUGACAUACACGAGAACGCCCUAGAAAUAGGGAACUCUUUGGACACUCGUGAACAGGUGGUGCAUGGUUGUCGUCAGCUCGUGUCGUGAGAUGUUGGGUUAAGUCCCGCAACGAGCGCAACCCUCGUUCUAUGUUGCCAGCGCGUAAUGGCGGGAACUCAUAGGAGACUGCCGGGGUCAACUCGGAGGAAGGUGGGGAUGACGUCAAAUCAUCAUGCCCCUUAUGUCUUGGGCUUCACGCAUGCUACAAUGGCCGGUACAAAGGGCUGCAAUACCGUAAGGUGGAGCGAAUCCCAAAAAGCCGGUCUCAGUUCGGAUUGAGGUCUGCAACUCGACCUCAUGAAGUCGGAGUCGCUAGUAAUCGCAGAUCAGCAACGCUGCGGUGAAUACGUUCCCGGGCCUUGU